UAGUUGAACUGAAAUUAGCACAGGGACAGCGGGAAAAAGUGGAACGCCGGGCGGAUUAUCCGGAAUUUCGAUUUAUGAGUUGCAAAAGUUGGAACGAUUUGGCUGAAACUUCAGCUCUUCCACGCCAUUGAACGAGUGUGCUAAUAGUACAUACACUACACUGAUUUAGGGUUUUAAACUGAAGAUGGCUAAUGAUGCUACAUCUGGGAGAAAAAAUAAGGAUAAUGAGAGUAAUAACUCAGAGAACAAACUGGUUGGUAAAGGAUCAUCAAGUCGUGGUUCUGGAAAGACAGAUGGAUCCACAAGAAGCUCAGUUCAGGAAACCUCAUCGAAACAAAAGGCUUUAAGCCCUGCAAGUACAAGGAAGUCUGAGCGCCUAGAGAUGCGGACACCAUCUACUCCUCCUCCUAAGAGGAAAUCUGUGCGACUUGAACAACAGAAUAAUCCGACACCCUUAAAAAGGUCUGAGAGGUGCUCUCCUACAUCAAGAUCAAGGUGCUUAGGGAGAGAAUCCAAUUCGUCUAGUACAAAGAAGGAGGAGAACCGAGAGAAGACUGCGAAGAAGCUGACAACGGAAUUUGAAAAUGUUAGCACUAGCAAGAAAAAUGCUGCAGCAUCUGUUGGCUUAAAAAGGAAGACACUGGAUGGCAGAACUUACAAGUUAUUAUACAAAAAGCAAAAGAAAGGAGGUACCGCAUCGGAUCAUUGUGAAGAUGAUGGUAUUGAUGGGGAGCAUGGUUCUGGAUCUCCAUCUAGUUUGUUGCGUGAGGAAGACCUGGUUGCGCCUGAAGAAAGAGGAAUCCUAUUCAAUGAGCAGAAGAGCCUCCAUAUCCAUCUAAAAGCUGAGAUUGCAAAACUUUUUGGAGUGAUAAAAGUUUCGGAAGUCAUCAAGCAUACUGCCGAAAAAUUUCUGGAAUAUAUUAUGGAGAAUCAUCGUGUUAGUAAGGAACCUGAAACAAUUUUGCAGGCUUUCCAGAUAUCUCUGUCUUGGAUCGCAGCUUCAAUCGCGAAGCAAAAGAUUGACAAAGACAAUAUAUUCUUGCUCGUAAAACAACAGUUACAGUUUAGAUGCACUAAAGAAGAGGCAUACAAUGUCUAUCUGAAGCUGCGUUCCUUAAAGAAGAUAUUUUUGCAGAGAUUGGAUCAGAAUGCUCCAAGAUAUCCUAUAUCAUCAGUGAAAUCUGUUAAAGAAGAGCCAUAUAAGGGAAGCAUGUCGCAAGCAGUAGUAUCUACCCCACUGAACGUGAAAACCGAUAUCAAAGACAGGUUACUAGAUAAAGGGUUCAGUGGAGAAGGCAGUGUAAUUCCUGAGGAAAAACUUAUGGACAGUCAAAGGGAAAAGGUCUUUAAGGAGGUUCAGUGCAGACGUGACAGGCAAAUAUCCAUGCUGGGACAAAAGCAACAAGAAAAAAUUGAGGAGUUCCAUAGAAUCUGGGAGAAGAAAAAGGAAGAGCUAGAGAAGGAGUACAGAAUGGAGAUAGCUGUUCUUCGCUCUAUACAUGGUCAGACUGCAGCAACUAAGGAUAGACAUAAAGCAUUAGAAACUGAGUUUUCAAGGAAAAUGGAAGAGCACAAAUGCCAAAAGGACAAGCAACUCAAAGAGCUUGAGGCUAAUUUGUCUGCUAUGAGGAAUGAGGGGAUGCAUAAUUCCCAUUAUGCGGUUGAUGAGCUCCAUUUGCUUGGAUCUGAUUCUGGGGACGGCAUGGGGUGCUCCGAGGAAAGUUUAAAUGUCUCUGACAGUAAUCCCAAGACUGUUACCCCUGUAUGUGGACAGCAUGUUGAGUUACAGUGUCCAGACAAUGUUGUCUCUGGCAUGCAUGGCGACGUGGCAGCAUCUGAUGCACCUGCAUCUUCUCAAGACGAGUGCCAUGUUCUUCCUGUUCUAUCUACUAAAGUCUUAGAAGCUUCAGUUUCAGAAGAGCAAGCUGAGAUCACCACCACGGGGAGAACAUUGGUUACUGCAAUUGAGCAGUCUGAUGAAGCAGGUAAUUCAGGUGGCAGUGGAGAGGAAAUUGCUUGUAAGGUUCCUCUACUUUCCAAAGAACAUACUGGUGAAGUCGCAUCAGACAAGCGAAGUCAAGACUGUUCAUUGGAAAUAUCUGAAGCUCCUCUUGACAAAGUUGUGGGACAUGAUCAAAUUUCUGAAAUAAAUAACAUUAAUCAAGAACUGGGUACAGAAAAUAUUAUUCCGGAAAAUAAUUCUGAUUUGCCAACUGUUGAUGGAAACCAGAGAGACGAAAUUAGCUCCAUUGAUGGAAACCAAUUAACUCCAGAGGAAUCGCCAGCAGACUUGCCUUGUUUAGAAGCAGUUCCUUCUUCCGAUAAUGCUUGUUCUUUGCGGCAAAAUUCAGUACAUUUGGAUGAAUGUUCCAGGUCUUCAGGAGAUAAUGGAACACAUGAUAACAAUGUGCUACUUAGUGAAAACCAGAUUGGAAUACAAACUGAACUUGUUUCUGGACGGAUUAUAAACAACACUUCUGAAGCAAUGUUAGCUGACAGUUGUGAGCAACAUCGUACAGUAGGUGAUGGCGUUCCCGUUGCUACUCCCGUUGCCACUCACCAUACUCACAGAGAGAGUGCAUCCCAUGUUGAAAGAAACUUUAUUCCAAUCCCUGGAUCCUCCCCCUAUGCAGCAGAACCUUUACAUCAAACUGUUUCUCCAGCUGGGGAAAAUCUGGUGCCUCGUGCAUCUGUUGUCUCAGACAUAAGUGUUACCUGCAAUCAAUCAAUCUUACCAGCAGUCAGCAGAGUGCAUCCUCAAUCCAUUGCUGAUCUUCGUGCAUCUUCUCAGAAUACUGAAACUGCGUUUCAAGUGGCUCAGAGUUCCGCUGAGCUUCCUAGUCAAGCAGUCUCUCAACAUAAAGUUAAUGUUGCCUUUUUUCAAGGAUCUAGCAAUACGCCAGUGCAUCCUGCCCAUCAGAUGGCCACUUGGAAUUCAGCUCUUCCUUUCCAUUCUGACCCCCUUCAUAUCAUAUGGGAAAGGGAACAUAAAGAAAGAGAACAAGUGACAAAAGGCCACGAGGAUAUGAAAUUGCAUCUGAGAGCUGAGUGCGAGAAGGAGAUAGAGGUUGUUGCUGCACCAAUUCGUAAGAAAUAUGAUUUAAAGCUUCAGGAGGCUGAGGCAGCAUAUCUUUUGAAGAAGAAUGAGCUUGAUAUGAAUCAGAAAAAAGUUCUCAUGAAUAAGGCUCUGGCUAACGCUUUCAGAUUUAAAUGCAUAGAUCUUGAAAUUACUGCACGUCCAGUUGUGCAGCAAGUUGAGCCUCCUGCUUAUAUGCAGCAUCAGGUAUGGCGGCAGCAUAGUUUGAGGUCUUCUCCUAUGACUGGUUCAUCUUCUGCCAGCGAGCAAGCUUCAGCCCGAGCUUGUUUAAGAUCUUCCCCAAUCAGUGGUUUGUCUUCAGCUCGCCUACCUGUGGGGGGCCAGCAGACUUCUGUCCCAUAUUUACCAGUUGCUGAUUAUUCAAUAUAUUCUGGGGGAACCUCUCGGCCUACAUUAAGAUCUCCACCUGCAGCUGAUCAGCAGACUGCUGCUUUUAGUCAUUCAACAGCAUUUCCUACAGGAAUUGUAAGCAGGCCGCCUCUCAUUAGCAUAAUCAACCCUUCCAAGGGUAAUCCUCGAUUAGGUGGCGAGAUUCGUGCUCCAGCCCCUCAUCUUCAGCCUUUCAGGGUACCUACAUCAACCCUUGUUAGCAGCUCAUCGAUCCUUCCAAAUGGUGUGCAAGGUCAUCCACGACCUGUUAAGGUGGCUGCAUCAUCUUCUUCACAUCCACAACUUUCAUCUCUACGAUCAACAUCACUCCCAUUGCAAGUUUUGCAAGAUGAAAUACAGCCAACCAUAGUGCCCAAAUUAGCUGUAAAUCUUUCUAAUUCUGGGAGUACAUCAUUGGACCAUGGACUUGGAGGAAUGCCUGCUAUACAGAAUGCACAUCUCUCUGCACGGGAAUUGCUUCUAGACAUGGAGAAUCGAUCUCGUGCAAACAGGCCUAAUUUUAUGCUACCUUUAUCAGAUAUAGGCUGUAACAUUGAUUCAGUAGACCUAUCUGACUUUCAUUCACUGGGCAGUGUACAGGGAGGUUCUUCCUCUGCAGGGGAAGCUACUAAUGUAAGUUCUGCUGUUUGUCUGUCCGAUGAUGACUGAACUAUUGAUAAUAAAGAGGAUUUGUUUGUCUGUUGGUGGGUCAGCUCUUCUAUCUGUAUGUGUAAAUACUUUCUUUUAGAAAAUUGAAAAAGGCAGAAUGUAAAAGAAUGCUGUCAGCGGGCACUGACAGAGGUCUAAGCAAAUUUAGCCUUGGGAGAGGAAGCUUUGGGGAAAUAUAUGGUGAGAAAAAGCCAGAAGCUGGGGAGAAGCCAGAAGAUAACGGACAAGAUUGCAGUGCUGCAAAAGCUAGUUUCUCCCACUGGCAAGGCUGGCGCAGCUUCUGUCCUCCAUGAGGCUUACAACUAUAUCAAGGCUCUUCAAGAUCAGAUUCAGAACUUGUGUAAUAUGGAAAGCACUUCUCACAACAACAGUGAUUACCUUUUUCACGCACAGAAUGGCAGGGGGGAACAAAUUGAUGUACAAAGCAAAGGUAUUUGUUUGGUUCCACUUUCAGUGUCACUUAUGCAGAAACUAACAGGCGAAGACGUCUUCAGCGAAAACAUGCAGUCAUGAAUGAUAUUGUACAGUGAGAAGUAAGAAAAGCUGUUAUAGUUUUGUUAAUGAAGUAAUCAACUAAUCAUCUUAGUUUCAAUACAGGAAAUAACCCAUUUUCGUUUUGUUUUUACCUCUCGAAAUACUUGAGGAAAUGAUAUCAUGAUGCUGCCUUGUGAUAUUCUUUCCUCAAUUUUACUAACUUUAUAGGUCAAUUUUUGCGCCUGGUAUGAUGGCUGUCAUUGUUUUGGAGUAUGUUUUCACGAAAAAGUUAUUUUAUGGUUUGGUUA